AUUUGGAGAGGAUGCUUUUGGCGCGGCGCCGUCCGAGUUCCUUGGAACAGGACGCCACAGAGGGUGAGAGCCCCGUACGGACGGACGCCUAACCUUUACAAAGCUCCUUCGACGAGUCGAGUAGUUUGGGAAUGCUGCUCAAAAUGGGAGGUAAAUUUCUUCUAAAGCUAAAUACCGGCCAGAGACCGAUAGCGCACAAGUAGAGUGAUCGAAAGAUGAAAAGCACUUUGAAAAGAGGGUUAAAAAGUACGUGAAAUUGUUGAAAGGGAAGCGCCUGUGACCAGACUUGCGCCCCGUGGACCAUCCGGCGUUCUCGCCGGUGCACUCUGCGGGGCGCAGGCCAGCAUCGGUUCUCCUAGGGGGAUAAAGGCCGCGGGAACGUAGCUCCUUCGGGAGUGUUAUAGCCCGUGGUGGCAUGCCCCUGGGGGGACCGAGGACCGCGCUUCGGCAAGGAUGCUGGCGUAAUGGUCACCAGCGACCCGUCUUGAAACACGGACCAAGGAGUCAAGCAUUGGGGCGAGUGUAUGGGUGCCAAACCCGCACGCGAAAUGAAAGUAAACGCAGGUGAGAGCUUCGGCGCAUCAUCGACCGAUCCUGAUGUCUUCGGAUGGAUUUGAGUAAGAGCCUUACCGCUUGGACCCGAAAGAUGGUGAACUAUGCCUGAAUAGGGUGAAGCCAGAGGAAACUCUGGUGGAGGCUCGCAGCGGUUCUGACGUGCAAAUCGAUCGUCAAAUUUGGGCAUGGGGGCGAAAGACUAAUCG
rnacentral:rRNA from 1 species